UCCCCCAACCAGGGAAGUCUCAGCUCCCCAUCUAUCAGUGGCUCUCUUCCUCUUUGUAAUUCCAGACCUCAGUCUAGCCUGGGACUUCUUCCCACCAAAGCCGCCAGUGACACCGAGUGCAGUGCCAUGCUCAUGCAAGAUCUUCAUUACUGGUUGUGGAUCCUCCGCAGAUUUUUCUCCUGUGCCGACAGCUUCCUUGGAUCGGGAUAGACAGACAGCUCAUCACUGGCCGUUUCUACCGACCGGCUCCGAGUGUGUCCCAGCUGUUUCUCAAGCUCUCGAACCUGAGGGUGGUUCCACAACAGGUGAGGAGACUGCGACCCAGAGAGAUGAAGAGAUUUGCCCAAAGACACCAAACUUAGAGACCAGUGGCUGAGGCCAGACUCAGACUCAGGUCUCUUGAACCACAAGGCCACACAGUGGUCGUUAACCACAGUUUUUCAGAGACCUCUCCCCCUUCAUGUUGGCUUCAGGGAUCCCACAGGAGACCCUGAGGGGAAAAGCCACCUGGGAACCUGGGAAUGAAGGCAAUGCACUUGGCAAAUAGUGGAAACGACACACUUAUUUGUGUGACUCUUGGUUUCUUGGUACAGCUAACCUUCGGACGGUGUUUCCUCCAUGCCAGGCCCUGUGGUAAGCAAUUUACACGUCUGUACUCAUUCAGUCCUCCCAGCAACGCUGUGGGGUAGGCACUGUCAUUAUCCACAGUACACAGAGGAGGAAACUGAGGCACAGAGAGGCGAAGCAACUUGCCCAAGGCCACACAGCUGGUGGGUGGUGGGCUGAGAUUUGAAGCCAAGCAGUCCGGCUGCGGAGCCCCUGUUCCUAGCCUCUAGAGAUGCUCCAAAAUAUUUAAAGCGUAAAGAGGGAGACAGGCUAAGUUUUUUUUUGGGGGGGGUGGUAAUUAAAACCUUCAAAAGCCUACAGGCAUCUGG